AUACGGAGGGUGCGAGCGUUAAUCGGAAUUACUGGGCGUAAAGCGUGCGUAGGCGGUUGAUUUAGUCAGAUGUGAAAGCCCCGGGCUCAACCUGGGAACUGCAUUUGAAACUGGUCAACUGGAGUAUGGUAGAGGGGGGUAGAAUUUCUGGUGUAGCGGUGAAAUGCGUAGAUAUCAGAAGGAAUACCGAUGGCGAAGGCAGCCCCCUGGACCAAUACUGACGCUGAGGUACGAAAGCGUGGGGAGCAAACAGGAUUAGAAACCCCUGUAGUCC
rnacentral:rRNA from 1 species